GGUGGCGGAUAUGCACUACGGGAAUGGGAUGGUGACUCGGUGUAGAGAUGUAUUGGAGAGUGAGUUCAAUUACUGUUCCGACCUCAACACUACUCAGUUCUUGAGGAAAAUGAUUGAAAUUGAAAAGCCAGACUUGAUUGUAUUUACUGGUAAUAAGUUUAACUUUUCCCUUCUGUUAAUAAUCAGAGUUCAGAACUAAGUCAAGUAUGUAUUUCUUAUUGUUCUUUCCUUUUCGGAACCAUCGGAAACUGUAACCUUUAUGUAUUGCCUUGACAUUAUCUGAAGUAAGAAAAACACUUUCCUUUUCGGGGUCUUCUUGAGGAAAAUGAUUGAGAUUGAAAAGCCAGACUUGAUUGUAUUUACUGGUAAUAAGUUUAACUUUUCCCUUCUUUUAAUAAUCAGAGUUCAGAACUAAAUCAAGUAUGUAUUUCUUAUUGUUCUUUCCUUUUCGGAACCAUCGGAAACUGUAACCUUUAUGUAUUGCCUUGACAUUAUCUGAAGUAAGAAAAACACUUUCCUUUUCGGGGUGACAGUUGGCAGAAGUUCUAAUUUAAGAUCAAUUUUCAGUAACUGCUUCCUGCCUUUCCCAAAAUGGUAUAAUAGAGAUUCAGAAUAUGCUAAAUCUAGCUACCUAAGU
rnacentral:lncRNA from 1 species